rnacentral:rRNA from 1 species
GGCUAACGCUGGCGGCGUGUCUUAGCCAUGCAAGUCGAGCGGACUUAUGGGGUAACUUAUAAGUCAGCGGCGGACGGCGGAGUAACACGUAGCUAACCUACCCUCUGGACGGGGAUAACCUACCGAAAGGUGGGCUAAUACCCGAUGUAGUCAUCCUGUAUAGGGGUGAUGAAAGGUGGGCUUCUGUUUACAAGCUCAUGCUGGAGGAGGGGGCUGCGGCCUAUCAGGUAGUUGGUAGGGUAAUAGCCUACCAAGCCGAUGACGGGUAGCCGGCCUGAGAGGGUGACCGGCCCGAGGGGCACUGAGAUACGGGUCCCACUCCUACGGGAGGCAGCAGGCUAGAAAUUUGGGCAAUGGGGGAAACCCUGACCCAGUGACGCCGCGUGCAGGAAGGAGCCCUUCGGGGUGUAAACUGCUGUCGUGUAGGGAGAAGGGUACUAAGGUGAACAAUCUUAGUACUUGACGGUACUACGAGGAGGAAGCCCAGGCUAACCUCGUGCCAGCAGCCGCGGUAAGAUAGCGUACU